UAUGGAGGGUGCAAGCGUUAUCCGGAUUCACUGGGUUUAAAGGGUGCGUAGGUGGGUCUGUAAGUCAGUGGUGAAAUCUCCGUGCUUAACAUGGAAACUGCCAUUGAUACUAUAGGUCUUGAAUUUUCUGGAGGUCAGCGGAAUAUGUCAUGUAGCGGUGAAAUGCUUAGAUAUGACAUAGAACACCAAUUGCGAAGGCAGCUGGCUACAGGGAUAUUGACACUGAGGCACGAAAGCGUGGGGAUCAAACAGG
rnacentral:rRNA from 1 species